CCUGCCCUAGAAGCAUUGCAGGUGUGGCUGCUGUAUCACAAAUACACAAGUGGGUGGCAGAGAGGAAGAGAGGACUUCUCUAAAUUCAAUGAUUGGAUCUAUGACAUCUGAAUGAUUAGAAGCCUAAGACU